UACGGAGGGAGCAAGCGUUACUCGGAAUCAUUGGGCGUAAAGGGCGCGUAGGCGGCCUGCUAAGUCGGACGUGAAAUCCCUCGGCUCAACCCUGGAAUGCCGGUGGAUACUGUCGGGCUCGAAUCCGGAAGAGGUGAGUGGAAUUCCUGGUGUAGCGGUGAAAUGCGCAGAUAUCAGGAGGAACACCAACGGCGAAGGCAGCUCGCUGGGACGGUACUGACGCUAAGGCGCGAAAGCGUGGGGAGCGAACAGG
rnacentral:rRNA from 1 species